GAUGAACGCUAGCGGCAGGCUUAACACAUGCAAGUCGAGGGGUAGAGUUAGCUUGCUAACUUGAGACCGGCGCACGGGUGCGUAACGCGUAUGCAAUCUAGCUUUUACAGAGGGAUAGCCCAGAGAAAUUUGGAUUAAUACCUCAUAGUAUCUUUGCCUGGCAUCAGGUGAUUAUUAAAGUUCCAACGGUAAAAGAUGAGCAUGCGUCCUAUUAGCUAGAUGGUAAGGUAACGGCUUACCAUGGCAACGAUAGGUAGGGGUCCUGAGAGGGAGAUCCCCCACACUGGUACUGAGACACGGACCAGACUCCUACGGGAGGCAGCAGUGAGGAAUAUUGGACAAUGGGCGCAAGCCUGAUCCAGCCAUGCCGCGUGCAGGAAGAAGCAUCUAUGGUGUGUAAACUGCUUUUGUACGGGAAGAAACACUCCCUCGUGAGGGAGCUUGACGGUACCGUAAGAAUAAGGAUCGGCUAACUCCGUGCCAGCAGCCGCAGUAACAC
rnacentral:rRNA from 1 species